rnacentral:rRNA from 1 species
GACGGGGGGGGCAAGUGUUCUUCGGAAUGACUGGGCGUAAAGGGCACGUAGGCGGUGAAUCGGGUUGAAAGUCAAAGUCGCCAAAAACUGGCGGAAUGCUCUCGAAACCAAUUCACUUGAGUGAGACAGAGGAGAGUGGAAUUUCGUGUGUAGGGGUGAAAUCCGUAGAUCUACGAAGGAACGCCAAAAGCGAAGGCAGCUCUCUGGGUCCCUACCGACGCUGGGUGCGAAAGCAUGGGGAGCGAACAGG